AUUGAACGCUGGCGGCAUGCCUUACACAUGCAAGUCGAACGGCAGCGGACCUUCGGGUGCCGGCGAGUGGCGAACGGGUGAGUAAAGUAUCGGAACGUACCUUUCAGUGGGGGAUAACGUAGCGAAAGUUACGCUAAUACCGCAUAUUCUGUGAGCAGGAAAGCAGGGGAUCGCAAGACCUUGCGCUGAUUGAGCGGCCGAUAUCAGAUUAGCUAGUUGGUGAGGUAAAGGCUCACCAAGGCGACGAUCUGUAGCGGGUCUGAGAGGAUGAUCCGCCACACUGGAACUGAGACACGGUCCAGACUCCUACGGGAGGCAGCAGUGGGGAAUUUUGGACAAUGGGGGCAACCCUGAUCCAGCCAUGCCGCGUGAGUGAAGAAGGCCUUCGGGUUGUAAAGCUCUUUCGGCCGGGAAGAAAUCGCACGGGCUAAUACCCUGUGUGGAUGACGGUACCGGAAUAAGAAGCACCGGCUAACUACGUGCCAGCCGCCGCAGUAAUAC
rnacentral:rRNA from 1 species